UACGGGGGGGGCAAGCGUUGUUCGGAAUUACUGGGCGUAAAGGGCUCGUAGGCGGCCCACUAAGUCCGACGUGAAAUCCCCAGGCUUAACUUGGGAACUGCGUCGGAUACUGGUGGGCUUGAAUCCGGGAGAGGGAUGCGGAAUUCCUGGUGUAGCGGUGAAAUGCGCAGAUAUCAGGAGGAACACCGGUGGCGAAGGCGGGCCUCUGGGCCGAUACUGACGCUGAGGAGCGAAAGCGUGGGGAGCGAACAGG
rnacentral:rRNA from 1 species